CGGACGUAUCACGUUGAAACACCGGUUUCCGUACGAUCAUUGAAAGUUAAGCGACGUCGAGCCUGGUCAGUACCUAGAUAGGUGACCGCUUGGGGAUACCAGGUUCUGUAAG